GCUAAACCCCCACUUUGGCUGCCUUCCCCCACCGCUCCGGCCAUGGAAUCCUUCGCCGGCGCCGCCCCCGCGGCCGGCGUAUUCGCGGGCUCCGGAGCCGCCGCGGCGCGCCCCUUCUUCCUCCGCCGCCGCGUAGGCUCCUCUUGCUCCAGCCCCGGACGGCUGCGCCUCCUCCGGGUGCCGCCGCCGCGCGUAGGCGGGGACGGAGGGGACCUGCCGCCGCUGGACAAGUGGGACAUGAUGGAGAUGGAUUUCGGACGCUUCCUCGGAGAGGACCCCAAGCUCACCCUCGCAAAGAUUCUGGUUAAGAAAUCAGACCCAGAUGCCUCAUCCCUCGAUGUAGAGAAACUGAUUGCCACUAAAAAGGACAAGCUGGAUGAUAUUUUGAGGGAGUUCAUGGAUGCCAAUAAGAAGGAUCAGGCUUUCAAAACACCAGAAAGUGUAUCCCCGAUGAAUACGAGACAACCGACAAUAAGCAAGCCAGUUGAAGGAAAGAGUUCUUUGAAUAUUUCAAGGCCUGUGAUGGGGAAACCGAAACAAGACGGGCCUCCGUUGACUUUACUGCGACCAGCAGGAAGCAAACCGAAGCAAGACGAGCCUUCUCUGUCUCAGUUGCGACCAGUAGGGAGCAAAGCAAAGGAAGAUAUUCCACCGCUGACCUUGUCACGGCCAAUUGGGAGCAAGCCAAUAGUACGGGGCACUCCGGUACAAGAUAGUUGGCCUAGCAAAGAGAGUUUAGCUGCUGCAACAAAUAACAGUGAAGUGGGGAGCAUCUCAAGAACAGCUGAUGUGGAUGUCACCUUGCGGAAACCCACCGUGCAUCACAGUGAGGAUGAUGAUUUGAAGUCAAAGCUGAAAAUGAAGCCAAACAUUAACCUGAAAAUGAGGAAAGAUAUGAAUGAGGACUUAACAAACAUUUCUCUUCUUCAAAAACCAGAUGUUACAAAAGAUAUUGCUAAUCCAGACCAGGACCAUGCCUCAGCUAGCUCUGCCACUAUUUCUGCUGCAGAGGAUAGCCGCGAAUUUGAGCUCGAAACUAAUGGUCCUGGCACAAAAUUAGUUACUGAAAACAUUCAUGAAUCAUCUGGGCUUGAUGACGAUUCUAGUGCAGGACUACAGCCAUCCAGUCAAACUGUCAUUCAAGAAACUAAUAAUUCUGCUGGUUCAGUGGAUAACCAAUCGGCUACUAGCAACAAUUUCUCUAUGCAGGCUUUCUUACAGGGAAAACCUAAAAGAGAAAAUCUAUCUGUAUUGCCAUCUCCAGUUGAUGAAAAGAUGAAUGCUACUGAUAAUAGGAAUUAUGUUGAUGAUGGGGGAAAUGUCUUACCAUCAAAACUUGAGGACAUUACCGAGAGUGAUUGGACUAGGUUAGAGCAUUAUGCUAGUACUGGGGAAAAAGUUGAGGUGGAGCUGAUAAAUUGCAGUCCAAAGGGAUUUGUUGUGUCACUUGACUCACUGAUAGGUUUCUUGCCAUACCGGAAUCUUGCUGCAAAAUGGAAAUUCUUAGCUUUUGAGACUUGGUUAAGAAGGAAGGGUGGUGAUCCUUCCUUGUACAAGCAGAGUCUGGGAUUAGAGGAUGGUUAUGAGGUUCAUGACAGUAGCAUAGAACCAGAAUCUAUCUCAGUCUCAGAAGUAGCUGGUGAGGAUCAAGAAUCUCUUCCAUCUAAGCCGAAGAUCGAGGAUCUUCUUCGGGCAUACAACCAAGAGAAAUCCAAAUUUUUAUCUUCAUUUAUUGGUCAAAGACUCCGAGUGUCAGUUGUCCUUGCUGACAGAAAUUCAAAGAAGAUAUUUUUCUCUAUGAAGCCAAAAGAGAGUGAAGAAUUGAUUCAGAAGAAGAAAAGUCUGAUGGCUAAGCUUAAUGUUGGAGAUAUUGUUCAAUGCACUAUCAAGCGAUUUGUUUACUUUGGGAUAUUUGUCGAGGUUGAAGGGGUUCCUGCAUUGAUUCAGCAAUGGGAAGUAUCUUGGGAUGAUACCUUAGAUCCAGCAGUUUCUUACAAAAUUGGUCAGGUUGUGGAUGCUAAAGUUAUUCAACUGGACUAUAAUAAUAACCGCAUCUUUUUGUCACUUAAAGAUGUAAAGCCAAAUCCAUCGGUAGGUGCUUUGGAAGCAGUCAUUGGUGAGGACUUAUCACUAGGUGGAACUCUUGAACCUGUACAGGCAGAUUUUGAGUGCCUUGUUCUGCGAAGUUGACUCACCCUCUGAUGUACGAUUUGAAUAUUUCUAGCGGCCUGAGGUGGAUGCCCUUAUGGAGGAGAUGCGAAAAAUAGAGGAUGUAAGAGAUGUUUAUAAAGGAAGAUUCUUCCAAAGCCCAGGGUUAGCUCCAACCUUUCAGGUUUACAUGGCGCCUGUGGUUGGUCUCAAAUACAAGCUGCUCGCACGGUAUGGGAACAAUGUGCAAGAGGUGAUGGUGGAGACGACACUGGACAAAGAGCGGUUGAAGGAGGCUAUUUUGACGUGCACAAAUAGGGUUAGCUGAUUAGCUAGGAUCUCGGUGCUGCACAUUGGACGGGACCCUCCCGGUGACAAUUUUGAGUCAUUUUGAUUUGUUUUCCUUUCUCUUCCUUUUUCUCCCCCCUGCUCUUUCUGGGGCGGAGGACUGGCAAAUUAAGGCCUGUCUGUACAGAAAUACUGUACUGUGGCUGUUGAGAAUGCGUUUCAGUCUUCUAGGCUACAUUAACUCU